AGAGGUUUGAUCAUGGGCUCAGAAUGAACGUUGGCGGCGUGGAUUAGGCAUGCAAGUCGAGCGAGAAGUCACAGUUUGAAGCUUCGGCCGAUUUCUGUGAUGGACAGCGGCGAAAGGGAGAGUAACGCGUGGGUUAUCUACCCUCAGGUUCGGGAUAGCUGCGGGAAACUGCAGGUAAUACCGUAUAACGUCUUUGGACCAAAGGUGUGAUUCCGCCUGAGGAUGAGCCCGCGUCCUAUUAGUUUGUUGGUGAGGUAACGGCUCACCAAGGCUUCGAUGGGUACCGGGUGUGAGAGCAUGGCCCGGCUCACUGGGACUGAGACACUGCCCAGACACCUACGGGUGGCUGCAGUCGAGAAUCUUCGGCAAUGCGCGCAAGCGUGACCGAGCGACGCCGCGUGCGGGAUGAAGGCCUUCGGGUUGUAAACCACUGUCAGUUGGGAGGAAAUCCAUAGGGGUUAUCCCCUUUGGUUGACCUAUCAUCAGAGGAAGGACGGGCUAAGUUCGUGCCAGCAGCCGCGGUAAGACGAACCGUCCAAACGUUAUUCGGAAUCACUGGGCUUAAAGGGUGCGUAGGCGGCUUGGCAAGUUGGGUGUGAAAGCCCUCGGCUCAACCGAGGAAUUGCGCCCAAAACUGCCUUGAUAGAGUGAGAUAGAGGUGAGCGGAACUUAUGGUGGAGCGGUGAAAUGCGUUGAUAUCAUAAGGAACGCCAGUGGCGAAAGCGGCUCACUGGAUCUCUACUGAUGCUGANGCACGAAAGCUA
rnacentral:rRNA from 1 species